rnacentral:rRNA from 1 species
GUAGUCCACGCCGUAAACGAUGGGUGCUAGCUGUUCGGAGGUUACCUCUGAGUAGCGCAGCUAACGCGUUAAGCACCCCGCCUGGGGAGUACGGUCGCAAGAUUAAAACUCAAAGAAAUUGACGGGGACCCGCACAAGCGGUGGAACAUGUGGUUUAAUUCGAGGCAACGCGAAGAACCUUACCAGGGCUUGACAUGCCCCUCGCGAGCCCCCGAAAAGGGGCUCUUCAGUUCGGCUGGAGGGAGCACAGGUGCUGCAUGGCUGUCGUCAGCUCGUGUCGUGAGAUGUUGGGUUAAGUCCCGCAACGAGCGCAACCCUCGUCCUCUGUUGCUAACAGGUAAUGCUGAGAACUCUGAGGAAACUGCCGGUGAUAAGCCGGA